GUGGGGAAUCUUCCGCAAUGGACGAAAGUCUGACGGAGCAACGCCGCGUGAGUGAUGAAGGUCUUCGGAUUGUAAAGCUCUGUUAAUCGGGACGAAAGAGCCUAGUGUGAAUAAUGCUAGGAAGUGACGGUACCGGAAUAGAAAGCCACGGCUAACUACGUGCCAGCAGCCGCGGUAAUACGUAGGUGGCAAGCGUUGUCCGGAAUUAUUGGGCGUAAAGCGCGCGCAGGCGGAUCUGCCAGUCUGUCUUAAAAGUUCGGGGCGUAACCCCGUGAUGGGAUGGAAACGAAAGAUCUAGAGUAUCGGAGAGGAAAGUGGAAUUCCUAGUGUAGCGGUGAAAUGCGUAGAUAUUAGGAAGAACACCAGUGGCGAAGGCGACUUUCUGGACGAAAACUGACGCUGAGGCGCGAAAGCCAGGGGAGCGAACGGGAUUAGAUACCCGAGUAGUCC
rnacentral:rRNA from 1 species